UGGAGAGUUUGAUCCUGGCUCAGAGCGAACGUUUGCGGCGGGCCUAACACAUGCAAGUCGAACGAGAAUCCACCCUUCGGGGUGGAGGACAGUGGCGCACGGGUGCGUAACACGUGGGUAACCUACCCCCUGGACCGGGACAACCCGGGGAAACUCGGGCUAAUACCGGAUGUGACGCGCGGAUCCUCGGAUCCGCACGGGAAAGCUCCGCAAGGGGCGCCAGGGGAUGGGCCCGCGGCCCAUCAGCUUGUUGGUGAGGUAACGGCUCACCAAGGCGAAGACGGGUAGCUGGUCUGAGAGGAUGAUCAGCCACACUGGAACUGAGACACGGUCCAGACUCCUACGGGAGGCAGCAGUGGGGAAUAUUGCGCAAUGGGCGAAAG
rnacentral:rRNA from 1 species